rnacentral:rRNA from 1 species
AUACCUUUAAUUGUUGCUUCGGCGGGACUUCGCGCCCGCCGGGGACCCAAACCUUCUGAAUUUUUUAAUAAGUAUCUUCUGAGUGGUUAAAAAAAAUGAAUCAAAACUUUCAACAACGGAUCUCUUGGUUCUGGCAUCGAUGAAGAACGCAGCGAAAUGCGAUAAGUAAUGUGAAUUGCAGAAUUCAGUGAAUCAUCGAAUCUUUGAACGCACAUUGCGCCCGUCAGUAUUCUGGCGGGCAUGCCUGUUCGAGCGUCAUUACGCCCCUCAAGUCCCCUGUGGACUUGGUGUUGGGGAUCGGCGAGGCUGGUUUUCCAGCACAGCCGUCCCUUAAAUUAAUUGGCGGUCUCGCCGUGGCCCUCCUCUGCGCAGUAGUAAAGCACUCGCAACAGGAGCCCGGCGCGGUCCACUGCCGUAAAACCCCCCAACUUUUUAUAGUUGACCUCGAAUCAGGUAGGACUACCCGCUGAACUUAAGCAU